rnacentral:rRNA from 1 species
GUAGGGAAUAUUGGGCAAUGGUCGGAAGACUGACCCAGCCAUGCCGCGUGCAGGAAGACGGCCCUCUGGGUUGUAAACUGCUUUUAUCUGGGAAGAAAAAGGCCAUGCGUGGCAAAUUGCCGGUACCAGAUGAAUAAGCACCGGCUAACUCCGUGCCAGCAGCCGCGGUAAUACGGAGGGUGCGAGCGUUGUCCGGCUUUAUUGGGUUUAAAGGGUGCGUAGGCGGCUGAUUAAGUCAGCGGUGAAAGACUUCGGCUUAACCGGAGCAGUGCCGUUGAUACUGGUUGGCUUGAGUGUCGGAGGGGUACAUGGAAUUGAUGGUGUAGCGGUGAAAUGCAUAGAUACCAUCAGGAACACCGAUAGCGAAGGCAUUGUACUGGCCGACAACUGACGCUGAUGCACGAAAGUGUGGGGAUCGAACAGGAUUAGAUACCCUGGUAGUCC